GUUCUGCUUUCAGCAGCUACUUUUCUGGUUUGAAGGGGGGAAGGAAAAAAAAACUGGGGAGAACUAGGCGGCUUUCUGAUCAGAGUUCAGAUAAAAAGGGUCACAGUAAUUUGUGGGCACUGACUAAAAUAACCCAAUGGAUUUGAGAGUUACCGCAAAAGAAGCAAACAGACAAACUAAAGAGGGACUUCAGCCAUGAACUUGGUGAUGAGCCAGAGAAGGUAACUUUUCAUCCCCUACAAGACCUAUUCCAUGUUGCAGCUAACCUUAAAGAAAUCAUCACUUGGAACUGAUUCAGAAUCCCAUAUCACAUUUUGUUAUUACUUUUGCCUGGUCUCCUGCUGUCUGGAACAGUUUUUCAGUCUUCCUUCAUUUUCAAGAGUGUGAAAGGAUCCCAAGACCAAAAGUCUGGGAACUGCUGGUUUAGAGUCACAAUACUGACUGCUCAAAAUGACUUUUUAAAGAAGAAAGCCUUAAAAACCCUUGAGUGAAUGGUUGGUAUUUACAGACAAGCAAAUGUAUGGAAGAGAAACGAGAGACCCAGCCUGAAUCUGUUGAAUGAACGAAAGGGGAAAUGCCCUAAGGAGUCAGAUGGAAGAAGUUUUUCUGGGAAGAGCAGAACACAGGAGUUGGGGUGCAGACCUCCUGGAUCACCAGCAGAAGGAAAAGAGCAGUGAGACGUUAAAGUGAUUGAGACAAAAAUGGAAGUAAAACAGCUUAAGGCUUUCUGAGAUCGAGUUCCUGGCAGUGUCAUCAGCAGAUGGUUUCUUCUGAAGUUCAGGGGAAGAGAAGAUGCUCGAAGAACUCUCCAGGGACUGAGUGGGUGGUACAGAGCUAGUGCUGUAGAUGCCAUGUAUACAGGCAAAUUCCCCAAUGAGUGUUUUCCAAUAUCAAGUUUAACUGGCAUUUAAGAUAUAUGCCAAAGGUAGGUAAAUUAUUUUGGCCUGUGCUUAUAGGUUUAUUUCCCUGGAUGAAGCUUUCUGUCUCUGUCCUAGUGCACUGUAGCAGAUGCAGGGUCUUUCCAUACAAUACAUUAAAAGCUGCAUCUCAUUUUAAAUAUAUUAUAGAAACCCUGAUCAUACAAUACAUACAAGAUUUUUAAGAUCAGCCUUCAGUCGAUUUUUUUGCUUUAUUUUUGUUCUGGAGGUCAAAAUGAGUGGUUAACUGUCUAAGUUGAUUGCAGAGAAAGUUACUACUCAUUCUAAACGUAGGUUUUUAGAAAAGUGUUCUUGGCAGUUGCUACCAUUGGCUUUUUCCAACUUACAUGGGAAUCAAGAUUCAGAACUGGUACACCAAUGGGAAGAGCCUGGAAAAUAGACUAUUGAUCAAGAUGAAUCUGGUCCAGAUACUUUAAGACCUUUUCAGUGUGUUUUUAAGAUUAUAAGUUUGAACUAACAGAAACUUCAAUGCUGUUUUUUCACAAGUCAAUGUGUAGUGUACUGUUAUUCUUUUUUUUCCUGUAAUAUCUUAAUAAUAUUCCUGGCUGUAAGAAAAAGUUAACACUAUACCUAUGUUUUGACUUACUUUAUAGAAGACCCAAACAAUAUUUAACAAAAGGAUUUUUCUCAAAUACUAUUUUGAAAUCACUAUAUUAGACACUAUCUUAAAUUUAUUUCUCAAUUUGCUUCUUUUUGAAACUUCCACAUUUUGGUGUUCUUUUCAGCAUCACUCAUUUUCUUUCAUAAUAAAGAUACCCAAUAACAAUAUCAUAAUAAAGAUUUGAUAACAAAUCUCCAGUUUUGGAGUGUUACAUUUCAUAUCUACAUGCUUACAGAGAAUUUAGUAUGAAUAUUCCCUGGCCUUAGUUCCUCUAAGCCUAGGAUACUUGUAGUCAUUUGGCAAAUAAUUUAAUCCAUGGCAAACAUGAGUCUUAAUACAAAAAUUAUUGAGUAGGCAAAAAAUAAUUGAACAUAUUUUGGACUGAUUACCAGUGCAUUAAAAAAGUAGAGGUUUAAGGAUGAGAAUAAUAAGUUUUUUUGUUUUUACUUAAAUUUAUAUAAAAGGAGUGAAAAUACAGUAGCCUAUAGUACUUAAGAGUGUGGGUAUAUUUUCAGCACUUAAUAAUUACUAGUUGAAUUGCAUAAUAUGGGACUAUAACUGAUAUGGUUUGGCUCUGUGUCCCCGCCCAAAUCUCAUGUUGAAUUAUAAUUUCCAAUAUUGGAGGAGGUACCUAGUGGGAGGUGACUGGAUCAUUGGGGGAAAUUUCCCCCUUGCUGUCCUCAUGAUAGUGAGUGAGUUCUCACAAGAUCUGAUGGUUUAAAAGUGUGUGGCAUUUCCCCCUUUACUCUUUCUCUCUCCUGCUGGCCAUGAGAAUAAGUGCUUGCUUCCCAUUCACCUUCUGCCAUGCUUGUGUUUCCUGAGGCUUCCCAGCCAUGCUUCUUGUUCAAGCUGCAGAACUGUGAGUCAAUUAAACCUCAUUUCUUCAUAAAUUACCCAGUCUCAGCUCUUUAUGGGAGUGUGAGAAUGGACUAAUAAAAUAUCUCUAGAAUUAUGUUUUUGGAGAUAAUUUAAAGAUAAACAAAUAUUGGAAACCUCAUUUGAUCACACAGAGAACAGUAAAUGGAAGUUCUACUUUUUCUCCAGGGCCUUUCUCAUGCUUAUGCAGGGAUUAUUCACCCAGAUAUCCUGAAAUAAGACAUCCAAUUAAGGUACCUGCUAUCUCAUGUAACACAGAAGAAAGUUGAGCAUAGAGGUUAAACAUUACCUAAUAUUGUUGGAAAAGCUUCGAAGCGUUCAUUUUCAAAGCAGCUAAUGUAAACCAUGAUAAUCACUAGUAGCACUAUGCCAUUUUAAAUACUUCAAUAUUUUGUAGUUAUUAGAUUCUAAGUAAGUAUAAAAUGUAGUGAAUACAAAUUUUAUUUGCCUAAACAGUGUUAGACAAUAUAAAUUAACGAGUUAUUUUUUAUUCUGUUUAAUAUUUUCAAGCCAAUAAACACUUUACUAAAGUA
rnacentral:lncRNA from 1 species